ACCACAUCAUGUUGAAACACCAGUUCCUGUACGAUCACUGAAGUUAAGCAACGUUGAGCCUGGUCAGUACCUAAAUGCGUGACCAUUUUGAGAAUACCAGGUGCUGUAA